CGGGGACCGGGGGUCUCCCCCGCCACCGCCUCCCCCUCGCCCGGGGCCUGGCCGAACCCCGCGGUGGCGCUGACGGGAAAGCGUAAUCCCGCCUCCGCCGCCGGCAAGGCCCCGGAUGUUUCUCAUGGGCUGCAGUCCCGGACCUGCCCGUGCAUGGGAAAUCGGGUAGUAUCAUCCCCGCAGACCUCUUGAGGGUCUCUGCAUGGACCCUCCGCUUUUGCAGACCCUCCUUUGAGGGGGAAAUAAAUUUUCUUCAAACAGGA